rnacentral:rRNA from 1 species
GUCUAUGGCCAUACCACCCUGAACGUGCCUGAUCUUGUCUGAUCUUGGAAGCUAAUCAAGGUCGGGCCUGGUUACUACUCAGAUGGGAGACCAAAUGCCCAAUCAAAAUAAUAAAAA